GACGAACGCUGGCGGCGUGCUUAACACAUGCAAGUCGAACGAUGAAGCCUAGCUUGCUAGGUGGAUUAGUGGCGAACGGGUGAGUAAUACGUGAGUGACCUACCUUUGACUCUGGGAUAAGCCUGGGAAACUGGGUCUAAUACCGGAUACGACCAAUCUCCGCAUGGGGUGUUGGUGGAAAGCGUUAUGGAGUGGUUUUAGAUGGGCUCACGGCCUAUCAGCUUGUUGGUGAGGUAAUGGCUUACCAAGGCGACGACGGGUAGCCGGCCUGAGAGGGUGACCGGCCACACUGGGACUGAGACACGGCCCAGACUCCUACGGGAGGCAGCAGUGGGGAAUAUUGCACAAUGGGCGCAAGCCUGAUGCAGCGACGCCGCGUGAGGGAUGACGGCCUUCGGGUUGUAAACCUCUGUUAGCAUCGAAGAAGCGAAAGUGACG
rnacentral:rRNA from 1 species